ACACUCCUGCGGGAGGCAGCAGUGGGGAAUAUUGGACAAUGGGCGCAAGCCUGAUCCAGCCAUGCCGCGUGAGUGAUGAAGGCCCUAGGGUUGUAAAGCUCUUUCACCGGAGAAGAUAAUGACGGUAUCCGGAGAAGAAGCCCCGGCUAACUUCGUGCCAGCAGCCGCGGUAAUACGAAGGGGGCUAGCGUUGUUCGGAAUUACUGGGCGUAAAGCGCACGUAGGCGGAUCGAUCAGUCAGGGGUGAAAUCCCAGGGCUCAACCCUGGAACUGCCUUUGAUACUGUCGAUCUGGAGUAUGGAAGAGGUGAGUGGAAUUCCGAGUGUAGAGGUGAAAUUCGUAGAUAUUCGGAGGAACACCAGUGGCGAAGGCGGCUCACUGGUCCAUUACUGACGCUGAGGUGCGAAAGCGUGGGGAGCAAACAGGAUUAGAUACCCUUGUAGUCCCAUG
rnacentral:rRNA from 1 species